ACUUAUGGCCACAGCACAGCUUGAAGGGGAAGUUGGUCUUCUAAGGAACCUCUCUGCAAUAAUGUUGAAUCGGGAAAAGCAAGCAAACAAGCUAUCAAGCAUCCAUCCCUUUGAUGUCCAACGACAACAACGACAGUGACUGAGGCUGCACCAGAGAUGGGAGUGGAUUAAUCAACACAGCCCAAUCUGUUCAGGGAUCACUUUAUUACCCACCCUUCUCUCCUGGUAGGUAGGUUGAGAUCCAACCUGCAACCUCAAGCCACAGCACAGUGCAAUGCAGCCUUGAAUUUAUGCUUUUAUUGUUCAAGUAAUUGGUCUUGCGGAGCAAAGAAUCAGAAAGUGCAGGAUGUCACUGGUUGCUUGGGCUAAGAAGGAGCUCUCUAGGCGUCGGAUCUACAAGCCUAAAAGCCUACUGCCUCCCCGCACUAGUUUAGCGUCUGCUGAAUCCUUAACCACGCCUUUUGUCCAAGAAGUUGUUAUCUCAGCAGACAUAAGAUGCACCAACUGCCAGAAGAGGAUAGCCCACAUGAUUUCGAAGAUGGAGGGGGGGACCGACUCAGUGGAGGUGGACGUCUUAAAGAAGAAGGUGACAUUCACCUGCAGAUCAGAAAGACAAGCAGGUGAUGCCUUUGGUGAUCCACGUCAAACAGGCAGAUAGUUCUCUUCUCCUCUUGCUCAUCACAUCUCAAGUUGUGGCCAUUAGCUAGUUGGUAUUGAUAAGGUCUCUACCCUCUAGUUGGUUGUGACUUGCGAUCAUCAGGGUUGCGGGGGGGAUUCAUGGGCCAUAGAGAAGGGGCUGAUGGGCUAGCUCCAUUAAGCCAGAAAAAAAAAAUGUCGGUAGAAUGAUUACGAAAUUUUGUAUUUUGUAUCGAGAUGGGGCUGAUGGGCUAUCUCCAUUUUGUAGCUCCAUGAAGCCGGAAAAAAUAAAAUAAAAUAAAUGUUGGUAGAAUGAAUUACGAAAUUUUGUAUUUUGUAUCUUCAACUGUCAAACUACCUUACAAGAACACAGUAAAUUUUGCUUCAUAAUUCCAAUUUCUAACGA